AGUGAACGCUGGCGGUAGGCCUAACACAUGCAAGUCGAACGGCAGCACAGUAAGAGCUUGCUCUUACGGGUGGCGAGUGGCGGACGGGUGAGGAAUACAUCGGAAUCUACUUUUUCGUGGGGGAUAACGUAGGGAAACUUACGCUAAUACCGCAUACGACCUACGGGUGAAAGCAGGGGAUCUUCGGACCUUGCGCGUUUGAAUGAGCCGAUGUCGGAUUAGCUAGUUGGCGGGGUAAAGGCCCACCAAGGCGACGAUCCGUCGCUGGUCUGAGAGGAUGAUCGGCCACACUGGAGCGGAGACACGGUCCAGACUCCUACGGGAGGCAGCAGUGGGGAAUGUUGGACAAUGGUCGCAAGCCUGGUCCAGUCAUACCGCGUGUGAGAAGAAGGCCUUCGGGUUGUAAAGCCCUUUUGUUGGGAAAGAAAAGCAGCAGGUUAAUACCCCGCUGUUCUGACGGUACCCAAAGAAUAAGCACCGGCUAACUUCGUG
rnacentral:rRNA from 1 species